CUGAAGCCAGGAUCCACCCCUUCCAGCCCUCAUAUAAGGGUUGGUAGUGAAGGCAAGCAUAUCUUCUUGGCAAUUCCUGUGUACUUGAGGCCUUCUGAGGACCCAGUAAAGCAAAGAAGACUUGGUUCCUGGUGGGUCAGAGCACAGCUAACACAAGUCUCCUUUUGCUUCUUUCUGGCUAUGGCACAGAAACACAACCAGAGUCCAGUUCCUCAGACCUCCAGAAUCACAACCUAGGAAGUUUCCAGAAGUGAGAACACAUCCUGAAGCAAAGCAAGUCAACGAAGCUUCAACAGUUUUACCAGUUGUGAAGUGCAGAAUAUUGAGAAUGUUUGUUCCAGCUCUGCCUCUGGUCUGGGAUUUCACUCUGCUCAGCUCAGAGGAAGGGAUCUCAGGUGAAUACAACUUCUGAUUUAUUACAUGUGGUUGGAGCUGAGGAAGAUGUGUGAGAAGGGGAAGAUGGCACAUCUGGCACGGGUUCCCAUGCAGAGCCAAAUUCCAGCUGACUUUGAGUCAAGAUCACAAGGAAAAAUCCUCAUUCCUUUUUCCUUGCCUUCUGAUGAAAGACUCAGACAGCGUCUGCACCUGACCUAUACUGCUCAGCUCCUGGAGGAAUAGCCAUUUUGUAGCAAGACAUUUUUGAAGCUGAGAUUCAUGUGGUGCUUGCUGGCUUUUGCUGUUUGCUGACAAGUGAAAUUACAGAGGAAAAUAAUCACUUCUUGUCGAGUCCUGAGAGAUGUCCUGUGAGUAGUAGCAGCUGUGCUGAGUUGUUGGAGCUGGCAGAACUCAUCCAUCUCUCUUUUUCCUGUCCUUUUAAACCAGUGCUUGUUUAGGGUCAAAUCUUCCUGCAACUACAAAGAAAAUUCCCACUGAAAAUGGGUGCCUCCAUCUGGCUCAUGGGCAUCUGCCUGCGCUCCCCUCCCAGAAGAUCCAGACUCUACAGCCCUGAGUUUUAUUCCUAAAACUGUUUUCUUAGCGCUGACAGUUUGAUAAAUGUUGUUUAGUGCAUUUUUUAAGUGUAUGGAGUGCAGUAUUUGCAGUUAUAUGCCAGCAUAGAAAGCUACAGCAGAGGAGAUGAAUAAUCCACCACAUGAAGCCUUGUUUCCUGCAAUUUUCUCACAACCCUGUACUCCUGUGCUGAUUUGCAUUUAUACUUGCCCUUGCAGUGGGGGAACUGCAAAUACAGCUCCCCUGUUUUAAGAAGCCUGCAGCUCUCAUUCAGCUGUGGGGAGCUGGUACAGCCCAGCAUUGCCAGCAGCAUGUGGAGCUGCAGAUUCUACUCCUCCUAGCUUAUCCAGACUCCUCCAGUAAGUGCCACCACUUUCACUAGCAGCAAUAAACCCCAUCCUUUGAGCUGUGCUCAGUGGAAACCAAACCCAUGACAUUACUGCCAACAGGUCUUAUUCAAGCCUGUGAGGGGUU